rnacentral:rRNA from 1 species
GACGGAGGGUGCAAACGUUGUCCGGAAUCACUGGGCGUAAAGCGCAUGUAGGUGGUUUAGUAAGUCUUUUAUUAAAGACCGAUGCUUAACAUCGGAUCGGUAGAGGAUACUGCUUAACUAGAGGGAGACAGGGGCAAGCGGAACUUUAGGUGUAGGAGUGAAAUCCGUAGAUAUCUAAAGGAACACCAAUGGCGAAGGCAGCUUGCUGGGUCUUUUCUGACACUGAGAUGCGAAAGCGUGGGGAGCAAACGGG